UACGUAGGGUGCGAGCGUUGUCCGGAAUUAUUGGGCGUAAAGAGCUCGUAGGCGGCUUGUCGCGUCGGAGUGUGAAAGCCCGGGGCUUAACUCCGGGUCUGCAUUCGAUACGGGCAGGCUAGAGUUCGGUAGGGGAGAUCGGAAUUCCUGGUGUAGCGGUGAAAUGCGCAGAUAUCAGGAGGAACACCGGUGGCGAAGGCGGAUCUCUGGGCCGAUACUGACGCUGAGGAGCGAAAGCGUGGGGAGCGAACAGG
rnacentral:rRNA from 1 species